rnacentral:rRNA from 1 species
AUGGCCACCUCCACCUUCUCGCUCUUCUUCCCGCCGCUGCCCAGCAGCAAAGGCCAGUGGCCGUCGGUGGAGGAGGCUGCCUACUCGUACGACGACCACAGCACCGUCACCACCCUCUCUCCCUCCUCCCCGGCCUCCUCUGCUUCCUCGGGCUCACUCGUGGACUGCACGCUCUCCCUCGGCACGCCCUCCUCGCGCUGCCCAGAGCCGGACCGCAGGCCGCCGCCGCAGGCGUACCAGUCCGUGUCCGCCGCGGCCGACCCCUGCUACUACCACCAGCAGCAGGGCAGGAGCGGCGCCGCCGGCCACGAGCAGCUCCUGGACCGCCGCUGCGCCAACUGCGGCACCGCGUCCACGCCGCUCUGGAGGAACGGCCCUCGCGGACCCAAGUCGCUGUGCAACGCCUGCGGCAUAAGGUUCAAGAAGGAGGAGCGCCGCGCGGCGGAGACCAAUGCCGGCGGCGGGUGCGGCUACGUCGCGCAGCGGGCACCCAUGUCGGCCCCUCGCGCCGUGCCGUACGCGGAGGAGGCGCCGCUUCCUUACGCCGGCGCCGUCGACGCGCCGUUCCUGGCGUGGCGGCUGAACGGCGUCCCGCCGGCCCCGGCGUUCUCGGCGUGGCCCGACAGGCAGCACGGCGUGUACCAGUACAACUAG